GUGAAUCAUCGAAUCUUUGAACGCAAAUUGCACUCUCUUCGGUGAGGAUGCCUGUGUGAGGGUCAGUAUUAAUAAAAAUCGGUGCGUUGUUUCUUGGUGACUGUCCGGAGUUUGGGGCAUCUUAAUUGUCUUUGGGUUUUAAGUGGAUUAAAAUUGACUUUUUUUUCUCAUUUUAGAUUUACAUAAAUUUUUUUUUUUAUUCGUCUGUGUUAAUGCUCACAAUCCUAUUAGAUGCGACCUUAUCGUGUUGUAU
rnacentral:misc_RNA from 1 species